UACAGAGGGUGCAAGCGUUGUUCGGAAUUACUGGGCGUAAAGCGCACGUAGGCGGACCAGCAAGUUAGGGGUGAAAUCCCGGGGCUCAACCCCGGAACUGCCUUUAAAACUGUUGGUCUGGAGGUCGAGAGAGGUGAGUGGAAUUCCGAGUGUAGAGGUGAAAUUCGUAGAUAUUCGGAGGAACACCAGUGGCGAAGGCGGCUCACUGGCUCGAUACUGACGCUGAGGUGCGAAAGCGUGGGGAGCAAACAGG
rnacentral:rRNA from 1 species